AGUCGAGCGGAAUGAUGAGAGCUUGCUCUCUGAUUUUAGCGGCGGACGGGUGAGUAACACGUGGGCAACCUGCCCUACAGAUGGGGAUAACUCCGGGAAACCGGGGCUAAUACCGAAUAAUCAGUUUGUCCGCAUGGACAAACUCUGAAAGACGGUUUCGGCUGUCACUGUAGGAUGGGCCCGCGGCGCAUUAGCUAGUUGGUGGGGUAAUGGCCUACCAAGGCGACGAUGCGUAGCCGACCUGAGAGGGUGAUCGGCCACACUGGGACUGAGACACGGCCCAGACUCCUACGGGAGGCAGCAGUAGGGAAUCUUCCACAAUGGACGAAAGUCUGAUGGAGCAAUGCCGCGUGAGCGAAGAAGGUUUUCGGAUCGUAAAGCUCUGUUGUAAGGGAAGAACAAGUACGGGAGUAACUGCCCGUGCCAUGACGGUACCUUAUUAGAAAGCCACGGCUAACUACGUGCCAGCAGCCGCGGUAAUACGUAGGUGGCAAGCGUUGUCCGGAAUUAUUGGGCGUAAAGCGCGCGCAGGCGGUUCUUUAAGUCUGAUGUGAAAGCCCACGGCUCAACCGUGGAGGGUCAUUGGAA
rnacentral:rRNA from 1 species